rnacentral:misc_RNA from 1 species
UCUCCGUUGGUGAACCAGCGGAGGGAUCAUUACCGAGUUUACAACUCCCAAACCCCUGUGAACAUACCUAUCGUUGCCUCGGCGGUGCCCGCUCCGGCGGCCCGCCAGAGGACCCCCAAACUCUUGUUUUAUACAGUAUCUUCUGAGUAACACGAUUAAAUAGAUCAAAACUUUCAACAACGGAUCUCUUGGUUCUG